rnacentral:rRNA from 1 species
GAUGAACGCUAGCGGCAGGCCUAAUACAUGCAAGUCGAACGGGCGGUAGCAAUACCGCUAGUGGCGCACGGGUGCGUAACGCGUAACCAACCUGCCCAGAUCUGGGGGAUAGCCCGCCGAAAGGCGGAUUAAUACCGCAUAAACCCACAGUGUGGCAUCACAUAAUGGGUAAAGAUUUAUCGGAUCUGGAUGGGGUUGCGUAGCAUUAGCUAGUUGGCGGGGUAAUGGCCCACCAAGGCGACGAUGCUUAGGGGACCUGAGAGGGUGAUCCCCCACACUGGCACUGAGAUACGGGCCAGACUCCUACGGGAGGCAGCAGUAGGGAAUAUUGGGCUAUGGGCGAGAGCCUGACCCAGCCAUGCCGCGUGCCGGAUGAAGGCCUUCUGGGUUGUAAACGGCUUUUCUCAGGGAAGAAAACGGGGAUGCGUCCUCAACUGACGGUACCUGAGGAAUAAGCACCGGCUAACUCCGUG